UUAGCUCAGUUGGUCAGAGCAUGGUGCUAACACCACCAAGGCUGUGGGUUCAAUCCCUGUA
rnacentral:tRNA from 1 species